ensembl:lncRNA
AGGAAACAAGUCUUUUAAUUACAAAAUAGCGUUACUUUUAAACUGACAACUGAAUAAGGAAAGUAUGGUUUUACCUUGCUGACAUGUUCCGACUGCAUCUGCAGAAUUCAGAGUCAUCGAUGUGCGAUGACGUGUAGUAAGAAACGACAAAUGAACAGAAUCCAACUUUCAAUUAUUGCAUUUAUUCAUGUUACACCAGAUAUUUCAAGAUUACAGUUAUAUUUAUUGAUAAAAAAACAACUAGCUUUAUUUAUAUUAAAAAAAACAUUUUGUUAAUGGAAAAAACAUUUAAAAGUGUAAAUUUCUGAAAAUGAAGCUAUGGCAGUGUUUCAUUAACAUUUUUCUCAUGAGGGUUUUUUUCUGCAACACCUGACUGUUACAGACUUUAAGUUUACGACAUCUAAAAGGUCCCUGAAGAAAUUUCGUGUGUGCCGACAGAACAAAGACAGUCAACAUUUAUAAGAUCUGAAGUCACUGGAUGGCACCUGAACAGUACGGUUCAGCCACAGGACAUGGUGGAGGCCGGCUAGGUGGUGGUGCUAGAGGCGCCCGAGGAUGUCAUGGAGGUCAGCUGGGUUGUGGUGGUGGUAGGGGCGCUCGAGGAUGUCGUGGAGGUCGGCUGGGUCGUGGUGGUGGUAGGGGCACUCGAGGAAGUCGUGGAGGUCGGCUGGGUCGUGGUGGUGGUGGUAGGGGCGCUCGAGGACGUCGUGGAGGUCGGCUGGGUCGUGGUGGUGGUAGGGGCGCUCGAGGAUGUCGUGGAGGUCGGCUGGGUCGUGGUGGUGGUAGGGGCGCUCGAGGAUGUCGUGGAGGUCGGCUGGGUCGUGGUGGUGGUAGGGGCGCUCGAGGACGUCGGCUGGGUCGUGGUGGUGGUAGGGGCGCUCGAGGACGUCGGCUGGGUCGUGGUGGUGGUAGGGGCGCUCGAGGACGUCAUGGAGGUCGGCUGGGUUGUGGUGGUGGUAGGGGCGCUGGAGGACAUCGUGGAGGUUGGCUGAGUCGUGGUGGUAGGGGUGCUUGAGGACGUCAUGGAGGUCGGCUGGGUCGUGGCAGGGGGACUCGAGGACGUCGUGGAAGUCGGCUGGGUUGUGGUGGUGGCAGGGGGGCUCGAGAACAUCGUGGAGGUCGACUGGGUUGUGAUGGUGGCAGGGGGGCUCGAGGACGUCGUGGAGGUCGGCUGGGUUAUGGUAGGGGGGCUCGAGGACGUCGCGGAGGUCGGCUGGGUCGUGGUGGUGGUAGGGAGGCUCGAGGACGUCGUCUGGGUGGUGGCCGUCGUGCUUGGUGGCUCGGUGGGGCAGGUGACUGUUGUGGUGUCCUUAUGGGGAUCGCAGUCACUCAUGGGGUGGGGUUCAAGUUCCAUAUGAGGCCCUUCAGGAAUAUUGUUUAAUCCCCACAAAUCAAAGAUCUUUGAAUCAUCAUCUAUCCCCGGGAUGAUUACAGGAACAAGCAUGACAGUUGUUGUUGUUUCCUCGUCCUCACAUGGAGGUUCCACGGUUCCCAUCAUUUCAGCCUCCUCAGUCCCCUGUGUGGGUUCUACACUGAAUGAAUCAUGAGGAUUCACCCCCCAGUCCCACUGGUCCUGGUGUUGCAGAGCUCUGCGCCGACGAUCCCGCGCAUCUCCUCUGGCUGCACUGAAACAAGCCGCCAGCAUCGUGGACAUCUCCCCAGCCGAGUCCAAAUAGAUCACUUCAAACAUGGAGUCCUGCACAACAUUCAGCCAUUAGUUCUCCACCCAACUAUGACAAACUGGAUGGUGGAUCACUCCAUCCUUACCUUGUCUGCCGGUGUGGAGAUCUGCACCAACACUGGCCCUGGAGUAGUGGUGGUCUGCACCCUCCCAACCACCACAUCUUUCCCCAGAGCCUUCACCUUCUGCAGUCUGCUUCCCUGAGGCAGUUUCACAGCCACUUCUGUGCUCCUGCAGCUCACCGCCGGCAGGGUCCACGUUGCAGGAUCCUCACAGGCGACCACAGCCGUCAUGUUCUCCCGCAGCAGGUGGUCGAAGUAACGCAGCUUCAACUGGUGGAACCACGUUCCAUUUGAAACCUGUGGAACAGACCAAGUCGUCACCAGGCAACAGUUUGUCAUUAGCUGGAGAACAUCCAGGAGUUCCACCGUUUCUGGUGCCUUUGGUCUCCAGUCU